UUCCAGACUCCUACGGGAGGCAGCAGUGAGGAAUAUUGGUCAAUGGGCGAGAGCCUGAACCAGCCAAGUCGCGUGAAGGAUGACGGCCCUACGGGUUGUAAACUUCUUUUGUCAGGGAGCAAUUGAGUCCACGUGUGGUCUUAGCGAGAGUACCUGAAGAAAAAGCAUCGGCUAACUCCGUGCCAGCAGCCGCGGUAAUACGGAGGAUGCGAGCGUUAUCCGGAUUUAUUGGGUUUAAAGGGUGCGCAGGCGGAGGUGCAAGUCAGCGGUCAAAUUGCGGGGCUCAACCCCGUACUGCCGUUGAAACUGCAUCCCUUGAGUGCGCGAGAAGUAUGCGGAAUGCGCGGUGUAGCGGUGAAAUGCAUAGAUAUCGCGCAGAACUCCGAUUGCGAAGGCAGCAUGCCGGCUCCACACUGACGCUGAGACACGAAAGCGUGGGUAUCGAACAGGAUUAGAUACCCGAGUAUA
rnacentral:rRNA from 1 species